CUUUUAUACCGUGGUUCAAAGUAAAAAUUAUCAAAGUAUCUUUAUUAGUCUCCCCAAGGAGAAAUUUGUUUUGGACACUGAGAGAAACUGCUGCAAGAGUUACAACAGAGACACACAACAAGCACAGGGUUAAAACAGUUAGAAGACGAAAUGUACAUUAAACAUUUGGGCUACUCAAAGAGCUAUGCAAAUUGCAAAUUACCAUUUUCUGUAGGCUACUUGUGCAAAAAAGC